rnacentral:rRNA from 1 species
AUGAACGCUGGCGGCGUGCCUAAUACAUGCAAGUCGAGCGAACAGACGAGGAGCUUGCUCCUCUGACGUUAGCGGCGGACGGGUGAGUAACACGUGGAUAACCUACCUAUAAGACUGGGAUAACUUCGGGAAACCGGAGCUAAUACCGGAUAAUAUAUUGAACCGCAUGGUUCAAUAGUGAAAGACGGUUUUGCUGUCACUUAUAGAUGGAUCCGCGCCGCAUUAGCUAGUUGGUAAGGUAACGGCUUACCAAGGCAACGAUGCGUAGCCGACCUGAGAGGGUGAUCGGCCACACUGGAACUGAGACACGGUCCAGACUCCUACGGGAGGCAACAGUAGGGAAUCUUCCGCAAUGGGCGAAAGCUUGACGGAGCAACGCCGCGUGAGUGAUGAAGGUCUUCGGAUCGUAAAACUCUGUUAUUAGGGAAGAACAAAUGUGUAAGUAACUAUGCACGUCUUGACGGUACCUAAUCAGAAAGCCACGGCUAACUACGUG